CCAGCCCAGUGGGGAUGGGCUGGGGCCAGGGAUCCACGUGAGAGACUCUGACUUCCACCCGAGGAAGGGGGAAGCUGGGAGCCACAGCAAAGCAAGCCACAGCCGGUCGCCUCCAGGAAGCCUGGGGUGCCUGCAAAGGUCACAUGAGGGGUGAUGGGGGGAGACCCCAAGAGCUAUCUGUGGUCCUCCUAAGCUCCUACUCAGCUGCACCUCCACCCUCCAGCCAGGUGGCCGAGUCUGGCCUAUUGCAAGAACUCAGCUUAUGGUGUCUGUGAUAUGCCUGUGUCUUCUCAAAGUCUGGUGCCCAGAAAUCCUCACUUGGUAACAAUUCCAUCCAUUUCAUGGUUCUCGAGAGUUCCAAAGAGCUUUUGCCUCCUGGACCUGCUCUGUUCCUCCCAAUGACUCAGCCACACAGGUUCUGUAGUAUGCAUCUAAUAGAGGAGGAAACUGCACUGUGAUGUAGAUAUCAGUCACCGGCCUCGGGGCUGCCUGGUCAGACAUGGUCCUGCCAGCGUGGAACAUUGGUCCAGAGGGAAGACACACAUCAAAUGGCAAUCCAUGCCUGGAUUCUGGAUUCUUCUUCCCUGACUCUACAGCCCUGGACCAGAGAGGGAGAAAGGGCUUGUCCAUUGCCACAAGACGCAGAGUACAGUCUAGCUGGUGUAUGCCCUGAAGGGCCAGCCAGGUUCCAGAUGUGGUCACACCAUGCCCUGUGAUCCUCUUCUUCUGGACAUCAGCCCUCUCCUGCAGAGGGAAACCAGGCCUGCCUGGCAUGCCAGAGGGAGCUUUGGAGACAGACAGCCAGGCCCUGUUCCUCGUCCCUCCAGGCCUCAAGGCUGUGACCUAGACCAGCCACAAAUUUAGCAGAGAAUCUGUAAGCUGAUUCAUGAAUGGACACUGUCCACCUGGACUCCACAGUUUGGAGGCAAGGUACGGAGCACUAAAUGUGAAGAUAAAGGCAGGAACCAGUGUGAACCGGAGCACAGAAAGGGACUUGCUCAUUCUACCUGAAGUCCAGGAAGGCUUCAUCGAGGAGGAGGCAGUAUUUGGGUUUAGAGAAAGAUGAAAGGGUAAGAGCUCUGAUCAUAACCCAAGUGACCCACCCACACCCUCUUUGCCAAGUCCUUAGGUGGCGGCCCCAGAACUGACCAAAGGGAGAGGUUAGAGCCUUUCUUUCUAGGCCAGCAUGUCUUUGGUGGAGCCACUGUGACUCUGUGCUGUGCAGGACAUGCAUUAGGCACAGGUCCCGCCAUGGGGCAGAGCCUCGGCCACUGACCCAGGAGCAGGGGGCGGCUGGAGGAGGAAGGAGUGAGGAGGGGUCCAGGGGAAGGGAAGAGGCUCAGUGUCGCGCCGCUGGACCACACACACCACCUGGCUGCCGCCCAGCUGCCGCCACCUCCCUCUGACCAAGGGGGUGUCCCACAGGCCCUACACACGCUCAAGCUCUUUACACAGAGGAAAGCACUUCAGAGCCACUAGG